rnacentral:rRNA from 1 species
GUGCCAGCAGCCGCGGUAAUACGUAGGGCGCGAGCGUUGUCCGGAAUUAUUGGGCGUAAAGGGCUCGUAGGCGGUUUGUCGCGUCUAGCGUUUAAGGCUCGGGCUUAACCCGGGUUUGCGUUGGGUACGGGCAGGCUUGAGUGCGGUAGGGGUAACUGGAAUUCCUGGUGUAGCGGUGGAAUGCGCAGAUAUCAGGAGGAACACCGGUGGCGAAGGCGGGUUACUGGGCCGUUACUGACGCUGAGGAGCGAGAGCGUGGGGAGCGAACAGGAUUAGAUAC